AUUAAGAUCUUCUAGAGUGUGGUUUUCCCAGGGCGAGGCUUAUCCAUUGCACUGUGGAUAUGCUGACCCCUGCGAUUUUCCCAAAUGCAGGAAACUGGACUGCAUAAUUUGUGGUAGUGGGGUACUGUGUUCGCACUUUCCCUGG
rnacentral:snRNA from 1 species